rnacentral:lncRNA from 1 species
UAACCCUAUAGUUGCCUAUUUAACGCUUUCAUUUACUUCCCAAUGCUAGGGUGUGGGAAAUACUGAUCACAGACCUGUUUUGCGCUCUUUUAACGUUUAAAGUUUGAAUGAGAGGUUCGGUUUUCUGAUCCUAGAUCAGUAGUUCAGGGUUGAAGGUAGAAUUACAUAUCGCAGGCUGUUGCUUUUUCCCCGGGGGUACUAGCCAUUCUCUCCAGUCAAGCAGGGUGAUGGACAAAGCAACAUUAACCACAGACAAACUCUACCCGGAUCGAUGUCUCUGUGUUCUCAUCGACGCCACCUGGGAAAUGGCAUGAGAUCUCCGUUUUUUCUCACGCCUUCGCUCUCUCUGUAUAGGUGCAAGUGUGGAAUCAAGGGGUAACGGAAAGGAAGGGUACCAUGAGAGUUCUUUUGUAGCGCGAAUACACGGUGCUCAGCUGAAUGGGGAAAGGGUUUGUGCUCCAGAAGUAAAUCAGCAGGCAGUAAGCUAGUUCACCAACACAAAACCUUAGGGUUUGUGAAAACUGCAGGUUUGUGAAAUAGCAGAAUACGGCUUAUCUGACAGAGUGCUGUGAGAGGCCAUUCACUCCUGGCUGAUAGGAUGCCAUCUUCCUGAUGCUGGUUUGUACAGAACAUCCAAACCGAAGAGGAUUUGAGGCCACCCCUAGGCUUUGCACGACCCUGCCCCCUUCUUGGUCUUCUCCCCCGUCUCUGCUUCUAGCUGCCAGCUGAUGUUUUGAU